UCGAACGGUGAACACGGAGCUUGCUCUGUGGGAUCAGUGGCGAACGGGUGAGUAACACGUGAGCAACCUGCCCCUGACUCUGGGAUAAGCGCUGGAAACGGCGUCUAAUACUGGAUAUGUGACGUGACCGCAUGGUCUGCGUUUGGAAAGAUUUUUCGGUUGGGGAUGGGCUCGCGGCCUAUCAGCUUGUUGGUGAGGUAAUGGCUCACCAAGGCGUCGACGGGUAGCCGGCCUGAGAGGGUGACCGGCCACACUGGGACUGAGACACGGCCCAGACUCCUACGGGAGGCAGCAGUGGGGAAUAUUGCACAAUGGGCGAAAGCCUGAUGCAGCAACGCCGCGUGAGGGAUGACGGCCUUCGGGUUGUAAACCUCUUUUAGCAGGGAAGAAGCGAAAGUGACGGUACCUGCAGAAAAAGCGCCGGCUAACUACGUGCCAGCAGCCGCGGUAAUACGUAGGGCGCAAGCGUUAUCCGGAAUUAUUGGGCGUAAAGAGCUCGUAGGCGGUUUGUCGCGUCUGCUGUGAAAUCCCGAGGCUCAACCUCGGGCCUGCAGUGGGUACGGGCAGACUAGAGUGCGGUAGGGGAGAUUGGAAUUCCUGGUGUAGCGGUGGAAUGCGCAGAUAUCAGGAGGAACACCGAUGGCGAAGGCAGAUCUCUGGGCCGUAACUGACGCUGAGGAGCGAAAGGGUGGGGAGCAAACAGGCUUAGAUACCCUGGUAGUCCACCCCGUA
rnacentral:rRNA from 1 species